AGAGACAGACAGAGAGUCGGAAAGUGAGAGAGAAAGAAUAUGUCGUGCAAAAAGCCAAACAAAUCAAGCGCACCAUAACAAAACAACGUACAUGUGACGCCAUCUAGAGCGCUCACUUCUUAUGAAUAUAGUAGAAAGGAAACAACAGACUUACUGAGCGUUGAUAUAUAUUUUGGUUUUGAAAGAAAUUGAGAACGAUAGAGCGAUAGAGUAUAUGAGGGAGAGAUAGCUACGGAGAGUAAGAGAGUUAAGAGAGUAAGGAAGAGAGGGUAGCUGAGAACGUAUUUCUUAAGAUUAUAUACUGCCGAAAAUAUCGACGUAAAGCAAUUCCUAAGGAAAACAGGAAACAGUGUCAACAAGCGCAUGCAGACACACAGACACAAACCAAACGUAUACCACAUCGUAUCAUAUCAUAAUUCCAUAGACAUACAUACAUAAAUACAUACAUACAUACAUACAUAAAUACAUACAUAUAUAGGCAUAUAUACAGACACAACGCGAACGUUCAUAUAAACUCUCUCUCACACACACACACGUACAGAUUCAUGUGUGUUGGUGCAUAUACCACAAACAUAUAUACUCCAAGACUGCUUUUUAAUGAAGAAAGAAGAUUAUAAGG
rnacentral:lncRNA from 1 species